rnacentral:sRNA from 1 species
AGAAGACCCACGAGCCUCAGGGACGCCAGGGCAAGUUUAGGGCCCGAAGUGGAGGCAGGAGAUGGUACCAUGGAAGGGUAAGGCAGCUGGAGGUUGGGAGAGCCGGGCCCUUGGAAGGCUCUUGGGGAUGAGAGUCUUCCCUCCCGUGCCCCCAUCACUUUGGCUCUGCAGCCCCUCCCUGAGGCUCCUCACCCCCUCCUCUCUGCCAGGCUUGACACAGCCCAUGGAGGACCAGGGGGUCUCCACCCAGCUACUCGCGCCCUCUGGCAGCGUGUGCUUCUCCUACACCGGCACGCCCUGGAAGUUGUUCCUACGCAAGGAGGUGUUCUACCCACGGGAGAACUUCAGCCAUCCUUACUAUCUGCGGCUCCUCUGUGAGCAGAUCCUGCGGGACACCUUCUCCGAGUCCUGUAUCCGGAUUU